UGGGGAAUAUUGCACAAUGGGCGCAAGCCUGAUGCAGCCAUGCCGCGUGUAUGAAGAAGGCCUUCGGGUUGUAAAGUACUUUCAGCGGGGAGGAAGGGAGUAAAGUUAAUACCUUUGCUCAUUGACGUUACCCGCAGAAGUAGCACCGGCUAACUCCGUGCCAGCAGCCGCGGUAAUACGGAGGGUGCAAGCGUUAAUCGGAAUUACUGGGCGUAAAGCGCACGCAGGCGGUUUGUUAAGUCAGAUGUGAAAUCCCCGGGCUCAACCUGGGAACUGCAUCUGAUACUGGGAAGCUUGAGUCUCGUAGAGGGGGGUAGAAUUCCAGGUGUAGCGGUGAAAUGCGUAGAGAUCUGGAGGAAUACCGGUGGCGAAGGCGGCCCCCUGGACAAAGACUGACGCUCAGGUGCGAAAGCGUGGGGAGCAAACAGG
rnacentral:rRNA from 1 species